GAUUGCAACCAUACUAGUACUAACGCAUCGGAUCCCAACAAAACUCCGAAGUUAAGCAUGUUUGGGCGAGAGCAGUGCUAGGAUGGGUGGCCCCUGAGGCAUAGCCCAAUGGUGCAAAAG
rnacentral:rRNA from 1 species